rnacentral:lncRNA from 1 species
GUAGCUGGGACUACAGGCGCCCGCCACCACGCCCGGCUAAUUUUUUUUUUAAUUUUUAGUAGAGACGGGGUUUCACCGUGUUAGCCAGGAUGGUCUCAAUCUCCUGACCUCUUGAUCCACCCAUCUCAGCCUCCCAAAGUGCUGGGAUUACAGGCGUGAGCCACUGCACCCAACCUUUUUUUUCUUUUUGACUGAGUGUCACUCUGUCGCCCAGGCUGGAUGUAGUGGCGCAAUCUUGGCUCACUGCAACCUCCACUUCCGCGGUUCAAGCUAUUCUCCUACCUCAGCCUCCCGAGUAGCUCGGACUACAGGCGCAUGCCACCACGUCUGGCUAAUUUUUUGUAUUUUUUUUAGUAGAGACGGGGUUUCACUGUGUUGGCCAGGAUGGUUUCAAACUCCUGACCUCAGCUGAUCCACCCGCCUUGGCCUCCCAAAGUGCUGGGAUUACAGGCGUGAGCCAUCGCUCCUGGCCCUGUGAUUUCUUACAAAAGUGUUCUGUAGUUCUCCUUGUAGAGAUCUUUCAUCUCCUUGGUCGUAUUCCCAGGUGAUAAAGCAUCUGCUGAUCAUAAAGCAGCAAUGAUUGAUGAGCGUGCCCAAGUUAUCACUGAUGAAAAUCUGACACCAGAACAAGUCUAUAAUGCUUAUAAAACAUCACUGUUUUGUGUUACUGCCCCAGGAAGACACUGACUACAGCUGAUGAGAAAGCCCCUAUAGGAAUUAAGGAUGCCAAGGACAGAAUAACUGUACUGGGAUAUGCUAAUGCAGCACACAAACACAUUGUAAACUUGCUGUGACAGGCAAAAGCUUAUGUCUUCACUAUUUUAAGGGAGUGGAUUUCUUACCAGACUAUUAUUAUGCUAACAAAAGUGCACAGAUCACCAGGGACAUAUUUUCUGAUUGGUGCUCCAAUGUUUUGUACCAGAAGUUCAUGCUCACUGCAGGGAAGCUAAACUGGAGGAUGACUGCAAGAUUUUGUUACACGUGACAACUGUUCUAUUCACCCUCCUGCUGAAAUUCUCAUCAAAAAUGUUUAUGCCAUCUACUUUCCCCAAAAUGUGACUUUAUUAAUUCAACCAUGUGGCCAGGGUAUCCUUAGAUCAAUGAAGAGUAAAUAUAAAAACACUUUCCUGAACAGCAUGCUAGCAGCAGUGACAAGAGGUGUGGGUGUGGAAGGUUUGCAAAAAGAGUUUAGCAUGAAAGAUGCCAUACAUGCUGUUGCCAAUGCUUGGAAGACAAUGACUAAAGAUACAGUUUUGCAUGCCUGCAACCUCUAACCUGUGACUAUGUGCAGUGAUGAUGAUGAUGAACUAAGUAGUGACUUUGAAGGAUUUCAUAUGUCAAGUGAGGAAAACAUGAAUGUCUGACCUUAUAUAUGCAAAAUAAUAAUAUAUAUGCAUCAGUAAGCUGGAAGAAGUAGAUAUCAAAGAAGCUUUUAACAUUGAUAAUGAGCCUCCAGUUGUUCAUUCAUUGACCAAUGGUGAAAUAGCUGAAAUUGUUCUGGAUCAAGAUGAUCACAAUAAUAGUGACGAUGAAGAUGAUGUCAUUAACACCAAAGAAAAGGUGCCUAUAGAAGACAUGGGUAAAACGUGUGAUGGAUUAUUGAAGGACUAGAUCAGUGUACAUUCAUAAUUGAACAAAUCAUGUCAGUUUAUAAAAUGAAAGAGAAAAUUCUAAGACAAAAAACCAUUGUUAAUGAGACAGAUAACUCUGGAGGAAAUUUUCUAAAAAGCCAUUUUGCAGAUUGCCUCCCCAUCCCUAGAACACCCACCUUCUGGUCCUUCAAGUGCUUCUGAUGUUUCUUCUCACCUAAAAAUAAAUAAAAUAAAAUAAAAUACCUGUACAGUGACUUUUUGUUUGUUUUGUUUUGUUUUUUGCUUUUUGUUUAUUUGAGACAGAGUCUCACUCUGUCACCCAGACUGGAGUGCAGUGGUACGAUCUUGACUCACUGCAGCCUCCGCCUCCUGGGUUCAAGUGAUUCUCCUGCCUCAGCCUCCUGAGUAGCUGGGACUACAGGUGCGCACCACCACACCCUGCUAAUUUUUGUAUUUUUAAUAAAGACAGGGUUUCACCAUGUUGGCCAGGAUGGUCUUGAUCUCCUGACCUCGUGAUCUGCCCACCUCUGCCUCCCAAAGUGCUGGGAUUACAGGUGUGAGCCACUGCGCCCAGCAUACAGUGACCUUUUAAUGAAAACACAGCAUCAUAGGUGGAGACGGCAAGCAUGCUGUUGUUUGUAGCUGCUGUUGUUUAGCAGCCAGUACAGAUAUUCUGGUGAUGCAACUGUGCUGCUUUGUUAUCCUGAACACAUUAUUUUUCAGUGUAUUAAUGGUAAGUCAUUUUUUUUUACUGUUAAGUAUUUAUAUGUGGAUAAGUAUAAGAAAAUGAUGGCUUUUUGGUAGCAUAUAAAUUCAGAGUCAGGAACAAUGGUGAUGCCAAACAACCACAUAUUUCCACAUGAGUGGCUGAGAUGGUGACACCUUUGCUUUUGCAUGGUUUAAUGUAUACAAACUUUGUUCAUGCACAAAACUAUUUAAAAUAUUGUGUAAAAUUACCUUCAGGCCAUAUAUAUAUAUAUUAUACAUACAUAUAUAUAUAUAUAUAUGGUGUUUAUGAAACAUAAAUUAAUUUUGUGUUUAGACUGGGGUCCAUCCCCAAAAUAUCCCUAUUACGUAUAUGCAAAUAUUCAAAAAUCUGAAAAAAAUCAAAAUCUGAAACAUUUCUGGUCCUAAGCAUUUUGGAUAAGGGAUAUUCAACAUGUAAAAUCUAUUUAAAAUGUUGGGA